rnacentral:misc_RNA from 1 species
GAGUGUAGAGAAUAAUUGUGUAGAAAAUUAAUUAAUUAAUUAUAUAUAUAUAUAUAAUUUGAUAUUGUAUAUAGUUUGCCUUUAUUUGUUAAAUAAGCAAAAUAAUAUAUCCAAUCUUAAUUAUUAUUUAGUACAUUUUGUAUUAAAAUUAUUUGUAUAUCAAAUUAAAGUUUAAAGAUUUCUAAGAUAAAUUAAAGUUGAGGAGGGUGUGGUAUAUUUAUCAGAGUUGAGAGACGAUAAGUGAGAUUUAACCAUAAGUUAACCUAGAAACUUGUAAUAGUAGGUCACAAGGAUUUUAAUGAUACUUAAAUUGAAGUUCAAGGGAUUCUAUAACACAAAUUAAAGUCGAGAGACAUUACUGAUAGAACCUACUAAGUUGAGGGGUUAUGAAUAAAAGUAACCCUCUAGUGCUCAAAGUCCAACAGAAUUUAAUAACUUGCAUAUAAGAGUUAACAAUUGAGAGGACAAAAAAAAAAAAGCAACUAUGUCUAUAGGGUAUCAACAACUAUCACCAAUCCUUUGCAAUCACCAAGCAGAAUAUCUCCAGUGUAUCCAAUGUAAAUGGUACACCCCCCACAUCAUAAACAUAAGCCUGAAGAUGAGAUGAAACCAUCAGUAUUCAAUGCUUAAGAAGCAUUGACUAGAGGCACAAUGCAAAGGGCAUAAUGUUGGCAUGAGAUAAGUAAAAUUUAUCGAGCUGAGGUAUAACCCUCAUUGACCAAACACAAUUGUCAUAUUUUCAUAGAGUUAUGUGGACAACCACCUCUCUAGGCUGCCAAGCUUCUAAGUUUGUGUGCAAGGAGCCAAGGAGAGACAUGAAAAGGAAGAACAUUAUAAACCUCCAGGCAUGUUGUACAAAACAUACAAGUGAGACUAACAGUAAAAUUUUAAUUUGAUUGAAAGAAACCCUUAUAAUUUUUCAUAGGCAUGCCAUUAUUAACCAAGUUAUAAACAUCCAUUUUCACUAGCAGUGUGAACAGAUGAACACGU